GGAGAUGACAAAGAUUAUCUAUACCCUCCCUAGAUUUCUGAACGGUAUCAUUACUGAAGGUGGAGCUUUUCUAUCACAGUGACAAACAGCUGAGACCUCUUCACCCUGGAAGUUCCCUCCGCUCCUGGACGCCUCAUAUUACAAGCAUCCCACACCCCCGUAGCUCUGCUUCUUGUCAGGGAAUCUCUGGUUCCUCCCAGAGCCUCCAUUAAAAGGAAGACACCUGGGCCAGUCCUGUCUUCAUUCCUGAUUGUCUGGACUUCUUCUACUAUGUCCCUGCUCAGAAAAGCAAGAAGUCAUCUCAGAACUGGAAGGCCAGAUCCUGAGGGGCCCGAACGAGCCUGACGUCUGUAGUACGUCUGUGAGAAGCAAAGCACGCUGGCCUAUGGAGAGGGGAGGUAGUGAGGAAGCUCUACCGGGUCUUAGACUCAGGCUGAGCUCAGUGCUUAUCAGCCACCUGGGCUGGAUCCUUGGACUUCCUCUAUCACGGACCAGCAAAAGCAGGAAAGGUGAACCCAGGAGCCAUCCCGGAAGAAGACGGAGGGAUAAGGGA